GAAACACGGACCAAGGAGUCUAGCAUGUGCGCAAGUCAUUGGGACUUAAUAAACCUAAAGGCGAAAUGAAAGUAAAGGUCUGCCUAGUGCAGACCUAGGGAAGAUGGGUGGUCAUCAGCGACGAUGCCAUCCCGCACUCCCGGGGCGUCUCACUCUCAUUGCGAGAAGAGGCGCACCAAGAGCGUACAUGCUGGGACCCGAAAGAUGGUGAACUAUGCCUGGUCAGGACGAAGUCAGGGGAAACCCUGAUGGAGGUCCGUAGCGAUUCUGACGUGCAAAUCGAUCGUCGGAACUAGGUAUAGGGGCGAAAGACCAAUCGAACCAUCUAGUAGCUGGUUCCCUCCGAAGUUUCCCUCAGGAUAGCUGGCGCUCGUGACAUACGAGUCUCAUACGGUAAAGCGAAUGAUUAGAGGCAUUGGGGUCGAAACGAUCUCAACCUAUUCUCAAACUUUAAAUGUGUGAGAUCUCCGGCUUUCUUGAUCAAUUAAUCUUGAAGCCGCGAGACUCGGAUCAGAGUGCCAAGUGGGCCAUUUUUGGUAAGCAGAACUGGCGCUGUGGGAUGAACCAAACGCCGAGCUAAAGCGCCAAAACGACGCUUAUGGGACACCAUGAAAGGCGUUGGUAACUUAAGACAGCAGGGCUGUGGCCAUGGAAGUCGGAAUCCG
rnacentral:rRNA from 1 species